AAAAAACUUGAUGGUAAAUUCUCACUCUUCCAUAGAUGGAAAGUUAUGAGUGAUGGUUCUCGUUGGUCGAUUAGUCUCAAGAUGAUGCAGUGUGAAGGAAUCGAAGUAUGAAGAUUUGGAAUUCCGGUCGAGUUUGAUAGUUCUCCGAAGAAUACUUCCAUUUUGUUGACUGAGAUUUAUCUCCGGUAAACAAAGAAAUUUCCUCAACUAGUUCCAGUGGUACAAUAGAAGGGUCGACCCGGUCGAAGCUUUGCAAAAAUGAUGAUGGAACUUGCUCGCGAAGCUUAGUCGGUGAAAAAGAUGCGUUGAAUUACAGAUCUGCUG